rnacentral:rRNA from 1 species
UACGGGGGGGGCAAGCGUUGUUCGGAAUUACUGGGCGUAAAGGGCUUGUAGGUGGCCAACUAAGUCAGACGUGAAAUCCCUCGGCUUAACCGGGGAACUGCGUCUGAUACUGGAUGGCUUGAGUGUGGGAGAGGGAUGCGGAAUUCCAGGUGUAGCGGUGAAAUGCGUAGAUAUCGGAAGGAACACCAGUGGCGAAAGCGGCUUCCUGGUCCAGCACCGACGUUCAGGCACGAAAGCGUGGGGAGCAAACAGG